rnacentral:rRNA from 1 species
UACGGAAGGGGCUAGCGUUGUUCGGAAUUACUGGGCGUAAAGAGCGCGUAGGCGGCUUUCCAAGUUGGGGGUGAAAUCCCGGGGCUCAACCUCGGAACUGCCUUUGAUACUGGAAGUCUCGAGUCCGGAAGAGGGGAGUGGAAUUCCCAGUGUAGAGGUGAAAUUCGUAGAUAUUAGGAAGAACACCGGUGGCGAAGGCGGCUCACUGGUCCGGUACUGACGCUGAGGUGCGAAAGCGUGGGGAGCAAACAGG